rnacentral:rRNA from 1 species
GAACGAAGUAGCAAUACUUAGUGGCAGACGGGUGAGUAACACGUGGUCAACCUACCUCAGUGUGGGGGAUAACUAGCCGAAAGGUUAGCUAAUACCGCAUACGAUCGUCGAGCGGCAUCGCUUGACGAUGAAAGGAGCAAUCCGCACAGAGAGGGGACUGCGUCCCAUUAGUUAGUUGGUGGGGUAACGGCCUACCAAGACUCCGAUGGGUAGCUGGCUUGAGAGAGCGACCAGCCACACUGGAACUGAGACACGGUCCAGACUCCUACGGGAGGCAGCAGUGAGGAAUUUUCCGCAAUGGGGGAAACCCUGACGGAGCGACGUCGCGUGUGGGAAGAAGGCCUUCGGGUCGUAAACCACUGUCGAAGGGGACGAUAUUGACGGUACCCUUGGAGGAAGCCCCGGCUAACUACGUGCCAGCAGCCGCGGUAAU